UCAUCGAACGUCUGAGAAACGAAGAGGAAUCAUGGUUGCCAACCAUGAAUGGUGGUGGGGAUCCUCAGAAAAGAUAGUGGGCAGAUAUCCUUCUUCCUCCACGACAUCAUGUACCACUAACUGUGGGACUUCGGAUGCCUUUUGAGGCUGAAGAGGGAAUGGAAGAGCAUGAUGCUAGGAUCAAUUCCUGCUAGCAUGCAUACUACAGCGAAGCUAUAGAUAUACCACCACG
rnacentral:lncRNA from 1 species